GCAAUUGGAAGAAGCAGACAGCGCAGACAGGCGGCCGGGCGAGACAAUGGGAGAAGUGAAAAAAUCUCGGCAACAAACAACACCCAAAGGACAGCUGUCGACUGCAGCGUCUCAGCCAGCGACGUCAUCAUCAACAGCAGCAGCAGCAGCAGCAGCGCUGGCAGCGGCAUUUUUGGCAGGCGUGUCCUCUGCAGGCAGCGAAAACAACGCGCGGUCAAUCGGUAAUUGGAUUAGAUCAGACGCAACCCCAUUUGGGCUGGCAGCUACUUACGUCUACGUUGACCCGCGGCAGCGCGCAGGCUAAUCAAGGCGCCGCUAGAUCCCGUUUGAUGCCCUAACAAAUGGGCAUUUCAACUUUUUCACCAAAUGUGUAACUUCUUCAAAAUCUUUGGAACAGCAGUCCGUAAUAUUAUAUAGCAACCUAUGUGAACUGAGCUCUCAGUGAAGGCAUCUUGAUGAAAUUUGGUACAGCUCAACGAAUGACCAUAUCAAUUGGGAACUACUUAGUUCCGAAAAGGGUAUUUAAAGUUCGGGCAGGCCGGUGAAAGGUCUUCUUGCAGCUUCCUGAUGCUGUUUUGCCAAAGAAAACAGCGGAAAUUAAUUAAGAAAACGCAUUGAGGUUGUCCGUCAAACCGAAGGAAGCCGCUGCCCGCGGGCUGCGUUGCCCUUUGCCCCGCUCGAAUGUCCCGUCCCCGUCCCGUAACGAAGCUUGAUUUUUAUUGCAUGAAUAGCCCCUGUGACCCUUUACAAUUGGGUUUAAUUGUGUUUGACUGACUGGACCCCGUUUCGAAGCGGGCACUCAAAAGGGCAGUUGCCAAACCUUGAACAGAAUCUUUUCACCAAUG